GAUGAACGCUGGCGGCGUGCCUAAUACAUGCAAGUCGAGCGAACAGACGAGGAGCUUACUCCUCUGACGUUAGCGGCGGACGGGUGAGUAACACGUGGAUAACCUACCUAUAAGACUGGGAUAACUUCGGGAAACCGGAGCUAAUACCGGAUAACAUGUUGAACCGCAUGGUUCAACAGUGAAAGACGGUCUUGCUGUCACUUAUAGAUGGAUCCGCGUCGCAUUAGCUAGUUGGUAAGGUAACGGCUUACCAAGGCAACGAUGCGUAGCCGACCUGAGAGGGUGAUCGGCCACACUGGAACUGAGACACGGUCCAGACUCCUACGGGAGGCAGCAGUAGGGAAUCUUCCGCAAUGGGCGAAAACCUGACGGAGCAACGCCGCGUGAGUGAAGAAGGUCUUCGGAUCGUAAAACUCUGUUAUUAGGGAAGAACAAAUGUGUAAGUAACUAUGCACGUCUUGACGGUACCUAAUCAGAAAGCCACGGCUAACUACGUG
rnacentral:rRNA from 1 species